CCUACGGGAGGCAGCAGUGAGGAAUAUUGGUCAAUGGGCGUAAGCCUGAACCAGCCAAGUCGCGUGAGGGAUGAAGGUUCUAUGGAUCGUAAACCUCUUUUAUAAGGGAAUAAAGUGUGGGACGUGUCCUGUUUUGUAUGUACCUUAUGAAUAAGGAUCGGCUAACUCCGUGCCAGCAGCCGCGGUAAUCCGGAGGAUCCGAGCGUUAUCCGGAUUUAUUGGGUUUAAGGGGUGCGUAGGCGGCCUUUUAAGUCAGCGGUGAAAGUCUGUGGCUCAACCAUAGAAUUGCCGUUGAAACUGGGAGGCUUGAGUAUGUUUGAGGCAGGCGGAAUGCGUGGUGUAGCGGUGAAAUGCUUAGAUAUCACGCAGAACCCCGAUUGCGAAGGCAGCCUGCCAAGCCAUGACUGACGCUGAUGCACGAAAGCGUGGGGAUCAAACAGGAUUAGAUACCCCGGUAGUC
rnacentral:rRNA from 1 species